GAGCCUCAGGGCUUUACCUUGAAAGGGGCACUCGAAAGGAAAAGCCCUAGCCUCCUUGAUUCCUAAUCGAUGUAAGAUUUUGCAUAAUAAUCUAUCAAUACAUCCUUCACAAUCAGAGAACUGUAACUGUGCUUCCUGCAAAACACAGAUCAAAUGCAGAGGCAGCACAACCAUUACAGCACACCAAAUUUGAUGCGCUGUACUUGCAAAAUAUCUCAGACUAAUCACAUCAAAAUUAUCCACCAACUGUCAUAAUUAUAGAGAAUAAUGCAACAAAUUGCAAUUGAAAAUAUCAAAG
rnacentral:misc_RNA from 1 species